UCAAACUUGGUCAUUUAGAGGAAGUAAAAGUCGUAACAAGGUCUCCGUUGGUGAACCAGCGGAGGGAUCAUUACAGGACUCGCAAGACUCCUUACACCCUGUGAACCUUACUGUAUACGCGUUGCUUCGGCGGGUCCGCCCGCCGGCAGCAUACCACAUUCUGUUUCUCUGCGUUGGCAUCUCGAGAAAAAAGCAAAUAAGUUAAAACUUUCAACAACGGAUCUCUUGGUUCUGGCAUCGAUGAAGAACGCAGC
rnacentral:misc_RNA from 1 species